ensembl:lncRNA
CGCCCUGCAGGGGCUGCACGCUUGGACUUUUUCUGCCGACAAUUAACAGCAGGGAGGCUAAUUUACGCGCUUUGACCAGGGGGCGGUGUUUUAAAACAAACCACCCCACCGGCUUCCAUACCUUUACAUUCGUGUCUUCACGUCACGCUCGCGCGUUCUUAAAUGUGUGCUAUCCAUCCGGAGCGGCUCGGUUUACCCGCCAGCAGCUACAUGUCAAACCUUUGGCAAAGUGUGCGCGCCGCCCUGCGCCACACGGUGCUGAUGGGUGGACCGAGCGCAGCGGAGCGAUAGGGCGCAUUUCUUAAUUUCCCCUUCAACGCCGCGUCCCCCCCAACCCAACCAACCAACCAACCAACCGAACCCCCCCUCCACCCUCCAGCCCUGGACACACGACGAGACCGCGGGACCGCUGUGCUUCCCGUUCACACACGAGGAUCGAUCCAAUGUAUUAUUUACGACCGAAACUUCAGCAACUUGUCCACUGGAUAUGGCUCCCGGUCUGAGGAGUGGGCGGCGGACAGGUCACCCCAAAGUAGUGGUCGGAGCCGGCGAGCCCGGCGGGUGCCCGCCGCGGAGGACGGAUGCCGGAGGAGAGGGGAGGUGUUCGAGGACCAGGUGGAGAGCCGGAGCGGCGGGGAUGCUCCCGAACUGUCUGCUGUCUGCGGGGAUGCUUUUACUUCUUGUCCGGUGCGCUUUAGCCGCAGAGGAAAAACCCACCUAUGAUGCCUCCGGCUCCUCGUCUUUGCAAAGCGACCCCACAGUCACAGCUGCUCCUGCUCAUCCAUUGGCUGACCUGUCAGUGGCGGAGGAGGUGCCUCUCUCAGUCGUCCAUCCGGAUGGUGACUCGGAGUCUGAAGGGGAGGGUUUAUCAGGGCAGCCGGCCUUUUCUUCUGUCUUAACUGUCAUGGCAGGAACCGUCAAACAUCCGGUGAGCCUUGAUCAAAGUCGAACCUUGCCGACUAUCACCAGGGACGUGACCCACACCACCCAAUGGCCUUCACAUAGUUCCAGCGAGGGCUCAGAGAUGUCCUCCUCCUCAUCGUCAUCUGCGGGGGAUAGGAUCCUCCCCGCCAGCUCAGAGACAGGGACGGAUGAGUUAACUGCUGGAACAUCGCGAGCAGAUGCGCUCACUUUCCCCAAAGAAAAAGUGGUCAGUCUCGCCCCCUCUCAGUCAGUCAGAAUUACCCUUUCUACUGGGCCCACCGAGAGGACAUCUCAGGUAUCACCUCUGCCCCCCGGACAGGACACCACAACAGCCUCCAUCAAGCUCACCGCCACAACUGUAGCUACCAACACCAGAACUAAAAGCCCCACCACUACCACGCCUUCCCUCAGAGUCACUAUCGGAACCAUGCAGUCUACCACCACCACAACGACCACACCACAACCCCCACCUGUGACCAGGAAAACGACGACCACCACAACCAUCAGGACUCAAACCAGCAGGAGAACGUUCACGCCGCCCGUCCCCAGAACGAGUCCUCCCAGGGGGGCCACCGCCGUCUUUCUUUCCCCUUUUACCACCACCACAGAGGCUCCGCCGCAGCAGUGCAACAUCACAGAGAGACUGUGGGUGAAAACAGGUAAACAAAACUUUUGCCACAGUCUUAAAAUCACGUUUAAUGUCAUAUCCUCUCUAACAUGUUUUGUCCAUUGUCUGUCUGGGUUUCUUCCUCUUCUGUCCCUCUGUCUGUCUCUC